CCUACGGGCGGCUGCAGUGGGGAAUUUUGGACAAUGGGCGCAAGCCUGAUCCAGCCAUUCCGCGUGAGUGAAGAAGGCCUUCGGGUUGUAAAGCUCUUUCGCAAGGGAAGAAAACUUAUCCUCUAACAUAGGAUGAGGUUGACGGUACCUUGAUAAGAAGCACCGGCUAACUACGUGCCAGCAGCCGCGGUAAUACGUACGGUGCGAGCGUGAGUAAGGCUUACUGGGCGUAAAGCGUGCGCAAGAUGUGAAAUCCCCGAGCUCAACUUGGGAACUGCGUUUGAAACUACAAGACUAGAAUAGGUCAGAGGGGGGUAGAAUUCCACGUGUAGCAGUGAAAUGCGUAGAGAUGUGGAGGAAUAUCAAUGGCGAAGGCAGCCCCCUGGGAUCAUAUUGACGCUCAUGCACGAGAGCGUGGGGAGCAAACAGGAUUAGAUACCCUAGUAGUC
rnacentral:rRNA from 1 species